rnacentral:rRNA from 1 species
CCUGAACGCUGGCGGCGUGGCUAAGACAUGCAAGUCGAACGGGUGUGGCAAUACACCAGUGGCGGACGGGUGAGUAAUGUAUCGCUAACGUGCCCUGGAAUCUGAGAUAGCCAAUCGAAAGGUUGGGUAAUACCAGAUGAAAUAUCCUUAUCGCAUGAUGAGGAUCUCAAAGGAGCAAUCCGGUCUGGGAGCGGGCGAUAUCGUAUCAGCUAGUUGGUGAGGUAACGGCUCACCAAGGCGACGACGCGUAGCCGGGCUGAGAGGUCGGCCGGCCACAUUGGGACUGAGACACUGCCCAGACUCC